UACAUAGGGUGCAAGCGUUGUCCGGAAUUAUUGGGCGUAAAGAGCUCGUAGGCGGUUCGUCGCGUCGGCUGUGAAAUCCCGAGGCUCAACCUCGGGUCUGCAGUCGAUACGGGCGGACUGGAGUUCGGCAGGGGAGACUGGAAUUCCUGGUGUAGCGGUGAAAUGCGCAGAUAUCAGGAGGAACACCGGUGGCGAAGGCGGGUCUCUGGGCCGAUACUGACGCUGAGGAGCGAAAGCGUGGGGAGCGAACAGG
rnacentral:rRNA from 1 species